rnacentral:rRNA from 1 species
CCAUUGUUUAUCUACCUACAUUGGCUUCUCCGGCAGGAGGUUCCAGGGCGGGACCAAGCCUAACAGCACCUGCCGAAGGGGUAACCCACUGCUCUAUACUGUACUGUCUGAGUAACAAAAACAAAUAUCAAAAUUUUCAAUUGUGGAUCUCUUGGUUCUGGCAUCGAUGAAGAACGCAGCGAAAUGCGAUAAGUAAUGUGAAUUGCAGAAUUCAGCGAACCAUCGAAUCUUUGAACGCACAUUGCGCCCAUUAGUAUUCUAUUGGGCAUGCCUAUUCGAGCGUCAUUUCCACCCUCAGGCUUGCCUGGUGAUGGGGCUUUGUACCUACAAACCCUAAAAAAUAGUGGCGGGCGUGCUGAAAACCCGAGCGUAGUAAACUUUUCUCGCUAUGGGCUACAGUGCUGUCCCUGCCGUAAACCCCCCUCUAUAAUGACAAGGUUGACCUCGGAUUAGGUAGGAAUACCCGCUGAACUUAAGCAUAUCAAUA